AGUGAACGCUGGCGGCGUGCCUAAUACAUGCAAGUCGAACGGAGUGGAGCACGGGUGAGUAAUGUAUAGCUAAUCUGCCCUACACUAGAGGACAACAGUUUGAAACGGCUGCUAAUACUCUAUAGUGUAGGAUGAGGCUAUAUUGUAUCAGCUAGUUGGUGAGGUAAUGGCCCACAAAGGCUAUGACGCAUAACUGGUCUGAGAGGAUGAUCAGUCAAACUGGAACUGAGACACGGUCAAGACUCCGACGGGAGGCAGCAGGAGGGAAUAGUGCUCAAUGGGGGAAACCCUGAAGCAGCAACGCCGCGUGGAGGAUGACACUUUGCGGAGCGGAAACUCCUUUUGUUAGGGAAGCGGUACCUAACGAAUAAGCACCGGCUAACUCCGUGCCAGCAGCCGCGGUAAUUC
rnacentral:rRNA from 1 species